rnacentral:rRNA from 3 species
GGNGGCAGCACAGGNNNNNNUACCGGGUGGCGACCGGCGCACGGGUGAGUAACGCGUAUGCAACUUGCCUAUCAGAGGGGGAUAACCCGGCGAAAGUCGGACUAAUACCGCAUGAAGCAGGGGCCCCGCAUGGGGAUAUUUGCUAAAGAUUCAUCGCUGAUAGAUAGGCAUGCGUUCCAUUAGGCAGUUGGCGGGGUAACGGCCCACCAAACCGACGAUGGAUAGGGGUUCUGAGAGGAAGGUCCCCCACAUUGGUACUGAGACACGGACCAAACUCCUACGGGAGGCAGCAGUGAGGAAUAUUGGUCAAUGGGCGUAAGCCUGAACCAGCCAAGUCGCGUGAGGGAUGAAGGUUCUAUGGAUCGUAAACCUCUUUUAUAAGGGAAUAAAGUGCGGGACGUGUCCCGUUUUGUAUGUACCUUAUGAAUAAGGAUCGGCUAACUCCGUGCCAGCAGCCGCGGUAAUACGGAGGAUCCGAGCGUUAUCCGGAUUUAUUGGGUUUAAAGGGUGCGUAGGCGGCCUUUUAAGUCAGCGGUGAAAGUCUGUGGCUCAACCAUAGAAUUGCCGUUGAAACUGGGAGGCUUGAGUAUGUUUGAGGCAGGCGGAAUGCGUGGUGUAGCGGUGAAAUGCUUAGAUAUCACGCAGAACCCCGAUUGCGAAGGCAGCCUGCCAAGCCAUGACUGACGCUGAUGCACGAAAGCGUGGGGAUCAAACAGGAUUAGAUACCCUGGUAGUCCACGCAGUAAACGAUGAUCACUAGCUGUUUGCGAUACACAGUAAGCGGCACAGCGAAAGCGUUAAGUGAUCCACCUGGGGAGUACGCCGGCAACGGUGAAACUCAAAGGAAUUGACGGGGGCCCGCACAAGCGGACGAACAUGUGGUUUAAUUCGAUGAUACGCGAGGAACCUUACCCGGGUUUGAACGCAUUCGGACCGAGGUGGAAACACCUUUUCUAGCAAUAGCCGUUUGCGAGGUGCUGCAUGGUUGUCGUCAGCUCGUGCCGUGAGGUGUCGGCUUAAGUGCCAUAACGAGCGCAACCCUUGCCACUAGUUACUAACAGGUGAUGCUGAGGACUCUGGUGGGACUGCCAGCGUAAGCUGCGAGGAAGGCGGGGAUGACGUCAAAUCAGCACGGCCCUUACAUCCGGGGCGACACACGUGUUACAAUGGCGUGGACAAAGGGAAGCCACCUGGCGACAGGGAGCGAAUCCCCAAACCACGUCUCAGUUCGGAUCGGAGUCUGCAACCCGACUCCGUGAAGCUGGAUUCGCUAGUAAUCGCGCAUCAGCCAUGGCGCGGUGAAUACGUUCCCGGGCCUUGUACACACCGCCCGUCAAGCCAUGGGAGCCGGGGGUACCUGAAGUCCGUAACCGCGAGGAUC